UACAGAGGGGGCAAGCGGUUAUUCGGAAUUAUUGGGCGUAAGGGCGCGUGAGGCGGCAUGGCAAGUGGAAGGUGAAAUCCCUCGGCUUAACCGAGGAACUGCCCUCCAAACUGCUUUGCUUGAGGCCGGGAGAGGUGAGUGGAAUUCCCAGUGUAGCGGUGGAAUGCGCAGAUAUCAGGAGGAACACCGGUGGCGAAGGCGGGUCUCUGGGCCGUAACUGACGCUGAGGAGCGAAAGCAUGGGGAGCGAACAGG
rnacentral:rRNA from 1 species